UUUAUACUCCCUCCGUCCGAAAUUACUUGUCGCGGAAAUGAAUGUAUUUAGACGUAUUUUAGUUCUAGAUACAUCUAUUUUUAUCCAUUUCUGCGACAAGUAAAUUCCGGACGGAGGGAGUAGAAA
rfam:Triticum aestivum genome assembly, contig: Triticum_aestivum_CS42_TGACv1_scaffold_272535_3DS